CAUAGCAUGAUAAUUGAUGAUAUCGCGGGCUAAGGACGAGGACAAAAGAAAGACGCAUUCGACACCACACAGCGCUUUUCCUUUUAACAAGUG
rnacentral:lncRNA from 1 species